rnacentral:rRNA from 1 species
CUAAGACUGGAUAGGAAGAUAAAAGGCAUCUUUUAUCUUUUUAAAGACCUAGUAAUAGGUAUGCUUUAGGAGGGGCUUGCGCCAUAUUAGUUAGUUGGUAGGGUAAUGGCCUACCAAGACGAUGAUGUGUAGCUGGACUGAGAGGUUGAACAGCCACAUUGGGACUGAGACACGGCCCAAACUCCUACGGGAGGCAGCAGUAGGGAAUUUUCGGCAAUGGAGGAAACUCUGACCGAGCAACGCCGCGUGAAUGACGAAGUACUUCGGUAUGUAAAGUUCUUUUAUCAAGGAAGAAAAGCAAAUGGCGAACCAUUUGUUUGCCGGUACUUGAUGAAUAAGCCCCGGCUAAUUAUGUGCCAGCAGCCGCGGUAAGACAUAAGGGGCAAGUGUUAUCCGGAAUUAUUGGGCGUAAAGGGUGCGUAGGCGGUCUAGUAAGUCAGUGGUGUAAUGGCAACGCUUAACGUUGUCCGGCUAUUGAAACUGCUAAACUUGAGUUAGAUAGAGGCGAGUGGAAUUCCAUGUGUAGCGGUAAAAUGCGUAAAUAUAUGGAGGAACACCAGAGGCGUAGGCGGCUCGCUGGGUCUUAACUGACGCUGAGGCACGAAAGCGUGGGGAGCAAACAGGAUUAGAUACCCUGGUAGUCCACGCCGUAAACGAUGAGUACUAAGUGUCGGGUUAAACCGGUACUGAAGUUAACACAUUAAGUACUCCGCCUGAGUAGUACGUACGCAAGUAUGAAACUUAAAGGAAUUGACGGGACUCCGCACAAGCGGUGGAUCAUGUUGUUUAAUUCGAAGAUACCCGAAAAACCUUACCAGGUCUUGACAUGUUUUUGCAAAAUGAUAGUAAUAUCGUGGAGGUUACCAGAAACACAGGUGGUGCAUGGUUGUCGUCAGCUCGUGUCGUGAGAUGUUAGGUUAAGUCCUAAAACGAGCGAAACCCUUAUCGUUAGUUGCCAGCACGUUAUGGUGGGGACUUUAACGAGACUGCCAAUGAUAAAUUGGAGGAAGGUGAGGAUCACGUCAAAUCAGCAUGCCCCUUAUGACCUGGGCUACAAACGUGAUACAAUGGCUGUUACAAAGGGUAGCUGAAACGCAAGUUCUUGGCCAAUCCCCAAAAACAGUCCCAGUCCGGAUUGAAGUCUGCAACUCGACUUCAUGAAGUUGGAAUCGCUAGUAAUCGCGAAUCAGCAUGUCGCGGUGAAUACGUUCUCGGGG